AUCAGCUCUAUCAACAUCGGCAAUUAGUUCAAUAAAUUUAGUAAUGGAUUUUGCCAAGACGACAACGGACGGUUGGGUCGAAUGCAUAAAGGUGAAAGAUGACGUGAUCCUCAAGAUAACAGAGGACAAACAUUCAAUCCGAUGGUUCUGCGAGUGACCCAGUGCCACCUUCUCGGAACAUUGAUGCUGCGUUCAUAGAUCAACUAACUAAAAUGAACGAGGAAUUUAAUACCAGAAGUUAAAUUUGAAAAGGCCUUACUCUUUGAAGUCAAAGGGUUGAACAAGGAUGUGUUGAUUCUCACCUCUCCCCUGAACGCGCUUAUCGAAAACAUUUCAGAUUGUACACUUUGAAAGAAUCUUGCUCCACCCUUGUCCAGCUCUGGGAAGCAGCCCUUAGGAUGUCAGGCCCCUCCAAUUAGGAGGCUUUACCUAAGAACUGCUUUCCGUUUUUGAAAUCUGAU